CGUGGGCCCCGGGCUCAGGGCCCAGGGCGGUUUGCCUUGUUCUUGUUUUUCAGAACGCUGUCCUCGGAAUGACUUGCUCCGGCGGCAGUGGUGGCCUCUAAAGGAGAAUGCUUCUGUUCCCACGAAAGGAGGACCUGGUCCCAGAUGAGGGAGAGCCUGGAGGAAGCAGAGCCUCUGUCACUCAGGAUCCAGGAUCACUGAUGUCUCCGAUGCCCGGGGCCUGAGCACUGCGGGGACUACACAAGACAUGGGGAAGGAAAUCUACCAAGUGAAAACAGAAUGGGGUAUAUUUUAAAAUUGGCACAUAUAAAGAUGAAUGGAGGAGACAAAAGCAGCAAAGAAUGUAGACAGGGAACCCCAAAGAUACAAAGCAAGUUUUAAAGCUGAUGAGAAGUUUAUGCUCCUGGGCCCUCAUGAUUCCUGCCUCCUGAUGGGGACCGACUCUUCCUUGGCACCAGAGGACCUGGCUUGCUUGGAGCCAGCAUUGAUAUUGUCCAAGCCAGAGCCAAAGAUUUAAACCUGAGCAUGGUCCCUAUCAGAAGUUCUCACCCCCCAACAGUAGGACCCAAGAAGUCAGCUGUGCACUGAGCGACUUGUAUGGAGCCAUUACCUGUAAGUGUUACCAUGAUCCCAAAAGAUUCAGACCCCAUUGUGGUUGACAACCUACACCUUCAAUAAGGAGAUUCACUGGGCUGGGUUGCAUAGCACAGGCCGGAAUCCCAGUGACAUGGGAGGCUGAGGCAGAAUUGUAAGUUCAAGGCCAUUCUGGGCAACUUAAAAUAAAACAUAAAAAAAGGGGCUGGGGGUGUGGCUCAGUGGUUAAGUAACCCUGGCUUCAAUCCCUGCUGGUAUAUAUUUUAAAAAAAUCACUAACUUUCUCUUGGCCUUUGUCAUCACAGAAUCAAUGGAUAAUAAAAGACAGUUAUUACCUGUACCUGGCAUAUAGUAAAGCCUCAAUAAAUAUUUGCUGAAUGAA